UACUGAUUUGCUCCUCCCCUGAGAGGUUUUAAAGCUAUCUGUGCUGUGUCCCAGAGCUGCUGUGGGAGCUGCAACCAUAUUAGUGCCCCAUGUGGGGCUGUCCUGCUGCAGCGCAGCAUGAGGCAGGCACUGGCUGGUCUCAGGUGGGGUUUGUCCCCUCCUGCUGCCAGGGGCAGGAUGUGCUCCAUCAGGCAGGGGACACUGCCUGGGACCCCUUGCCCCUGGUCUCACCAUGGGAUGCUGCCAGGGCUCCUGCUCCUUUUGUGUCCCAGCAGCCAGCUGCCUCGGCUGCCCUUGGUACCGAGGGGAUGCAGUAUGGAAUGAUGGUCCACUAGCGCCAAGUGGUGGCAGUCAAAAAUUUAUGAAAAAUGAGUAUUCCAUGGAUGCAAGGAAAUGCCAUGACCCAGGACCAUGUCAUUGGACUGCUGAUAUCAUGUCAUACAACAGCCCUAUCCAAAAUUGUGAUGGCCAUGUCCUGCUGAGAUCUGCAACUUCAGCCAAGAGCUGGCUGCUGCCAACUGGACCAAGUGGAGUGCCCGUGGCCAGACCUGAGCACACUGCGUGGGCAUGCAGAACCAGUGAAGGUGCUGGGACCAGGCUGCUGAAGUGCCCCAGGCCUUCUCAACCCAGUGAAGCCGCAGGAUGUCCAUGGGGGUGCAAGGCCCUUCCUCAAGUACCAGAGCCAUGGGGAACAAGGUCCGAGACAGCGCAGGAGGUUCCUGGGAACACGAACAGCGGAUGAUCCCUGACAAGGGGCUCUGGAUGAAACCACGCAUCAGCCAUGCAACGUAUGGUGCAUGUCUGCAGCCCCAUUCUGGCUCGGGGAGGAGGGAGAGCAGAGUCCCACGCCCACCAGCCCUCUGACUGGAGUUGGGCACUGCACGCGGGGCCAGGCGGGCACAGCAGGACGCGAGGCAGGGCUGGGCUCGGUGCUGGCAGUGAUGGGCAGGCCAGGCUGUGAUGGCCGCAGUGGGGCCUGCGGGGCAGUCUGCAACGGGGCCACAGCCACGCUCUCACCAUGUUGUUGUGGCGAAGCAGCAAGGUGUUAGAGCUGCCCUUGCCUCCAGCUGUGAUGGAGCGGCAUUGAGAGGCUGCAGGGUGCUGGCUGCGGGGGACCAAAGCGCUAAUCCCCCGAGCCCUGCUGGCAAGGCACAAAGUGCCUGGCACGUGCUGGCCCUGCCCUGCAGCCAGGGCUGUGGGACUGCCCGACCCCAGCCAGGAAACACCCAGUGGUCAGCCCGGUUCAGAACAGCCACCAGAUGAUGGCGAAUUUCAUUGCCAAGCCUAGCUGUACUUGAAAUGCGAAAAUGCAGAAAUGUAAGUGGCGCUGUCAGCUCCCUAAAAAUCACAUUUUCUGCAGUCUGCAAUCCUUGUUCUGCUCCAUAUGUGGAGGGAUUUGUAUGAAAUGUUCCAGGCAGAAAGUGAAAAACUCUGCGGUGUACUGGCACGAUAAUGCUAUCUUGCAUGAAUGCAGUGCUUUCCACUUAAAGUGACUUGCAUAAGUGGAAAUAUUAUCCCCAUUUUGCUGAUGAAGAAACUGAAGCCCAGCGUUUCCUUUGAGUCACAUCCAGUGAGCAGGGACAAAGCCAAGAAUGAAUGUGCUGACACGCAGGAUUUUCCAUUGCCACCAGACAAGUUGUCUCCAUCCAGAAUACUUCAUUCUGACUUUAUAGUCGUCUUCUCCGUGAUUAAAACACCAUCUCCCUAACCAGUGUAUUACUAUACACUAGAAAAAAAAAUAUAUAUUGUCUGAAUUUGCUCCAUUCUGCUCUCCAAAACAUCUCUGAAUGUCCUUAACAUGUUGGGAGAAUUUUCAAGCUUUACCUGCAAUAAUUGGGCACAGCUGGAAAAGGUAAUGUCCAAAAUUAACCGAUGCAACUGAUGUCUGCACUAAAUCUAUGUAUGUGCAGGUCUACAAUACGUGGAAGCCAGCGAAAUGCAGCUCCUGGAAGACUUAUGUUGUCUGUAAGGAAUGAUUAUAGCUUUGGUGAGAACUGUUAACAAUUCAGCAAAAUGACAAGAGACAUAAUUAUCUGAGUUAUUGAUCAAUGCAUAUUAAGAAAGACCUGCAUUCAUAGGUCAUUAUGAAGCAUUAUUGGGGCAACAGAGUGCAUCAAUAAAAUUAAUUUAUUUCUUCACAUGGAUGCUAAAGAAGACUUAGAAAUAUGCCAUGUGCAGAAAGCUGCUUGUGCCAGUAAAAUAUAUUUACAUCUGCUGCAUAUGGAUAGACGGGAUACAGGCCAAGUAUGCGAUGGUGGGAAGCAGCUUGCUGCUUCUGUUUUGGGAAAGUUCAUCACGGUUGAAAUUUUGGACAAAUGUGAUUCUGAAUCAAACUAGAGAGAGAGCAGUAGAUGAGCUCAAAACUUCAGCUGCUCCAGAAACUCCAUUCAGAAUAACAUACUAUCUCACGUGCCUUAUCUUUCUGUCAAAGUUUUGAAGACAUUUUCUGGUUGCUGAUGGGAGUAGGGAAGAAGAGAGAACCCCACAAUGAAGCAGAGAAAAACAUUCAUAGUCUGCUUCAGUCAGGUUUUCAACUUUAGAAAACGGUGGGUGUGGAGUAGGUGCAUCUUUGGAUACAACGCUGAAAAAAAAAUUAAGAAUGCAUGAAAGUUGAACCACGCCAGUGGUGAACCUGUCCUUGCAUACUGGUUUGUGCCUAAAUUCAACAACUCAACACAGACUAUAGGCGAAUCCAAGAAGAGUUUCUGGGCAAAGCAUGAGGCCUGGAGGUAAGGAUAUGGACAUGCCCACUUCUCCCUGCACCACGCAGAGGUUGUGCUGCCCUUCCCAGCUGGGGCUGCUGCUGCAGUCCUCCUGAACCACCUGCAGUAUUCAUGAAGAAACCUGAACAUAGGAGGGAGGAAGCCAGGGAGGACUUCCCAAUUGCUGUGCCAAUAGUUUGUUGAUUUGUAAUUGUUAAAUACUGAGAGCUGUCAAAAAUGGUAUCAGGUGCUUUCAGGAGAGGCUGCUCAUGAGCAAGGCCUGCACUAAUCUGACCGCGCUGUGCCCAUUUAUCGCUGUUUGCUGUGAAUGAAAGACCUGCUCACACGCAGGGAUGGCAUGGGUGUGUGUUAACCUGCUGCUCAGCAUUGCUGCUGGUGUCAUGCACCAUGGGGACACCUGCGGCACGUCUGCGUAUCGUCCCUGAGGCAGCAUGCCCAUGGCACCUGCCCCGCAGGCAGCACGCCUGCCUCCUCACAAAGCCAAGGACACGUACUUAUCCCUUUGCUUCCACUGGCCAGGAGGCCUCCGAUCCUAACACAGUGCACCCCACGAAGAUGCUACCACAAGUCCUUGUUCCUUUGGGCGUUCCUGUAGGUUCCCCCACGGCACACACUGCUGGCCUGCUGGUUCUCCUGCAGCUAUUUUCCUUUAAGCUGGGUACUGCAGCAAGCACAGCCAGUGGCAGCUCUGCGUGGUAGAUUACAAGCACUGAAGAUUAUGCAAAUCUGAAAUAAUGUUUUCCUGGCAGUCUAAGGGCAAACCAAAUAUUUAUGGGACAUUUCAUUAACAAUGGACUGUGCGUGAGAGAAAAGAAUGGUCUCCACCAUCUCACAAGCACCAUCUCUGCUCCUGCUGGUGGAUGCCAGAAGAGAAAGCUUCCAGAAGAAUUCCCAGAUGCAGAGGAGGUUGCUGGUGUUUGGGCAGAUACACAAAGUGGCAAACAGACGGCGUGUGCCUAAAACUCAGUGACUCCCAUGAAGUAAAACUACAGCAAGCUCCAUGGUGAUUUGCAGAGGUAAAUACAUAUUUCACGAGUAAAAUGCAAAUGUGCCUUGUGUAGUCCCCCAAAGUGCACGCUCCUGCUGCUGUCACUUGUUUGUGUCUAUCCAAUUUUGGAUUAUGUUUGCCUCUCAAAUUUAAUAAUUUUGACAAGUUAAUUUCAGCUUGUUCUUGACA